rnacentral:lncRNA from 10 species
ACAGUCCCACCAACAGUGUAAAAGUGUUCCUAUUUCUCCACAUCUUCUCCAGCAUCUGUUGUUUCCUGACUUUUUAAUGCUCGCCAUUCUAACUGGUGUGAGAUGGUAUCUCAUUGUGGUUUUGAUUUGCAUUUCUCUGAUGGCCAGUGAUGAUGAGCAUUUUUUCAUGUGUCUGUUGGCUGCAUAAAUGCCUUCUUUUGAGAAGUGUCUGUUCAUAUCCUUCACCCACUUUUUGAAGGGGUUGUUAAAUGUAGAUGAAACAGCCUUCUAUUUGAAGAAGAUGUCAUCUAGGACUUUCAUAGCUAGAGAGGAGAAGUCAACGCAGGGCUUUAAAGCUUUAAAACACAGGCUGACUCUCUCAUUAGGGGCUAGUGCAGCCUGUGACUCUCAGUUGAAGCCAAUGCUCAUUUACCAUUCCAAAAAUCCUAGGGCCCUUCAGAAUUAUGCUAACUCUAUUCCAUGCUCUAGAAAUGAAACAAGGCCUGGAUGACAGCACAUCUGUUUACAACAUGGUUUACUGAAUAUGUGAAACCCAUUGUUGAGACCUAUUGCUCAGAAAAAAAAGAUUCCUUUCAAAUACUGACAAUGUACCUGGUCACUCAAGAGCCCUGAUAGAGAUGUACAAAGUGAUUAAGUUGUUUUAUGCCUGCUAACACAACAUCCAUUUUGCAGCCCAUGGAUCAAGGAGUAAUUUUGACUUUCAAGUCUCAAUAGUUAAGGAAUAUAUUUCAUAAGGCUAUAGUGGCCAUAGAUAGUAAUUCCCUUGAAUGAUCUGGGCAAAGUAAAUUGAAAACCUUUUGGAAAGUAUUCACCAUUCUAGAUGCCAUUAAGAACAUUUGUGGUUCAUGGGAAGAGGUCAAAAGAUCAACAUUAAUAGGAGUUUGGAAGAAGUUGAUUCUAGCCCUCACGAAUGACUUGGAAGGGUUCAAGACUUCAGUGGAGGAAGUAGCUGCAGAUGUAGUAGAAAUAGCAAGAGAACUAGAAGUGGAGCCUGAAGAUGUGACUGGAUUGCUGCAAUCUCAUGACAAAUUUUAAAUGAAUGAGGAGUUGCUUCUUAUGGAUGAACAAAGAAGUGGUUUCUUGAGCUGGAAUUUCCUUCUGGUGAAGAUGCUGUGAACACUGUUGAAAUAACAACAGUUUAGAAUGUUACACAAACUUAGUUGGGAAAGCAGCAGCAGGGUUGGAGAAGAUUGACUCCAAUUUUGAAAGAAGUUCUAUGGUGAGUAAAAGGCUGUCAAAGAGCAUUACAUGCUACUGAGAAACCUUUUGUGAAAGGAAGAGUCAAUCGAUGUGGCAAACUUCACUGGUGUCUUAUUUUAAGAAAUUGCCACAGCCACCCCAGCCUUCACAACCACCACCGUGAUCAGUCAGCAGCCAUCAACAUCAAGGCAAGACCCUUCACCAGCAAAAACACUAUGACUAGCUGAAGGCACAGAUGAUC